rnacentral:misc_RNA from 1 species
GAAGCAAAUGGAUUUUCUAAUGUUAUAACUGUUUUGAAAGGGAAGAUUGAAGAAAUCGAGCUUCCUGUUGCCAGAGUAGACAUAAUUAUUUCAGAAUGGAUGGGAUACUUCUUGUUGUUCGAGAAUAUGCUAAAUACAGUCCUAUAUGCCCGUGAUAAGUGGCUUGUUGACGAUGGUAUUGUAUUACCGGACAAAGCUUCUCUAUAUUUAACAGCCAUUGAGGAUGCAGAUUAUAAAGAAG